GACGAACGCUGGCGGCGUGCUUAACACGUGCAAGUCGAACGGUGAAGGGACCGGUUUUUGCUGGUUCUGGAUGAGUGGCGAACGGGUGAGUAACACGUGAGUAACCUGCCCCCUUCUUCUGGAUAACCGCAUGAAAGUGUGGCUAAUACGGGAUAUUCUGCGCCUGCUGCAUGGUGGGUGUGGGAAAGAUAUUGUUUCGGUGGGGGAUGGGCUCGCGGCCUAUCAGCUUGUUGGUGGGGUGAUGGCCUACCAAGGCGGUGACGGGUAGCCGGCCUGAGAGGGUGGACGGUCACACUGGGACUGAGACACGGCCCAGACUCCUACGGGAGGCAGCAGUGGGGAAUAUUGCACAAUGGGCGCAAGCCUGAUGCAGCGACGCCGCGUGAGGGAUGGAGGCCUUCGGGUUGUAAACCUCUUUCGCCAGUGAAGCAGGCCUGUCCCUUGUGUGGGUGGGUUGACGGUAGCUGGAUAAGAAGCGCCGGCUAACUACGUG
rnacentral:rRNA from 1 species